AUGCCUCAGUAACGGCGAGUGAAGCGGCAAAAGCUCAAAUUUGAAAUCCAGUACCUUUGGUGCUCGAGUUGUAAUUUGAAGAUAUUUCUUUGGAGUUGGCCCUUGUCUAUGUUCCUUGGAACAGGACGUCAUAGAGGGUGAGAAUCCCGUCUGAUGGGGUGUCCAACUCUUUGUAAAGUUUUAUCGAAGAGUCGAGUUGUUUGGGAAUGCAGCUCUAAGUGGGUGGUAAAUUCCAUCUAAAGCUAAAUAUUGGCGAGAGACCGAUAGCGAACAAGUACAGUGAUGGAAAGAUGAAAAGAACUUUGAAAAGAGAGUGAAAAAGUACGUGAAAUUGUUGAAAGGGAAGGAUAUUAGAUCAGACUUGGUGUUUUACGAUUAUCUUCCCUUCUUGGGUUGUGCACUCGUGCUACACUGGGCCAGCAUCGAUUCGGACGGUAAGAUAAUGACUUAGGAACGUGGCACUCCUUCGGGAGUGUGUUAUAGCCUGUGUUGAUGUUGCCUGUCUGGAUCGAGGACUGCGUCUUGACUAG
rnacentral:rRNA from 1 species